UACGAAGGGGGCUAGCGUUGUUCGGAAUUACUGGGCGUAAAGCGCGCGCAGGCGGUUCUUCAAGUCAGAGGUGAAAGCCCAGAGCUCAACUCUGGAAUGGCCUUUGAGACUAGAGAGCUAGGGUACGGGAGAGGUGAGUGGAAUUCCGAGUGUAGAGGUGAAAUUCGUAGAUAUUCGGAGGAACACCAGUGGCGAAGGCGGCUCACUGGUCCAUUACUGACGCUGAGGUGCGAAAGCGUGGGGAGCAAACAGG
rnacentral:rRNA from 1 species